GGUUUAAUUCGAUGAUACGCGAGGAACCUUACCCGGGCUUGAAUUGCAGAGGAAGGAUUUGGAGACAAUGACGCCCCUUCGGGGCCUCUGUGAAGGUGCUGCAUGGUUGUCGUCAGCUCGUGCCGUGAGGUGUCGGCUUAAGUGCCAUAACGAGCGCAACCCCUCUCCUUAGUUGCCAUCAGGUCAAGCUGGGCACUCUGGGGACACUGCCACCGUAAGGUGUGAGGAAGGUGGGAUGAC
rnacentral:rRNA from 1 species